rnacentral:lncRNA from 1 species
UCUUUACUGGGCUAGUUGAGCUCACCCUUUUUCCUUUUUGUUCCAUUUUUCUUCUCAGGAGGUGAGAACAUAGCAGGAUCGAGUCGGGGUAUGGAGUGAUGGUUCUAGGAAGAUGUUUUAGCUGUCUACACUAUUUCUGUAAAAUAAUGUAUGAAUAAUUAUAAUGAGGACUUAUUUGGGUGUGUAUUUUGUCUAGAAGACAAUAUUUGUAUUUAAACUCAC